UAGGGAACCAAACUUGCUCGACGAUUCUCGUCUCCUCCUCCGGCGUUUUUCCUUCGUUUUAACCUUGCUUCGUCCCUCGCUGCUCUCGGCUUGCCUUCUCGUCUCCCCACCCCGAGGAAAAUUCAAUCCAAAUCCAAUGGCGGCUUCUGUGAAGGAUGUCCUGGGCGAUCUCGACCGGGACUCGUACGUCUCCCUCCUGGCUAAGAUCGUGGGCGAGGCGCGCCACGUCCAGAACAACCCCCCGGACCUCAUCCCCAAAGAGGACCGCGUCGCCCGCCACGUCCUCGACGCCCUCCUCCCCCUCAGCACCUCCACCGGCGGAGGUCCCCUCAUCGUCUCCCAUGUCGUCUACGCCGAAGGCCGCGGCAACGUCAUCGUCGAGUACCCCGGCUCCGCCCCCGGGAAAAUCCUCUCGUUCGUCGGCUGCCACAUGGACGUCGUCUCCGCCAACCCCAACGACUGGGACUUUGAUCCCUUCUCGCUGAGCGUGGACGGGGACAAGCUUCGGGGCCGGGGGACGACGGAUUGCCUCGGGCACGUGGCGCUCGUGACUGAGCUGAUGCGGCGGCUGGGGCAGACCAGGCCGGAGCUCAAGAACACCGUUGUCGCGGUGUUCAUCGCCAAUGAGGAGAACUCGUCGGUGCUGGGGAUCGGCGUCGAUGCCCUGGUCAAGGACGGGUUGCUCGAUAAAUUAAAGGCAGGACCUUUAUUUUGGAUUGAUACGGCUGACAAGCAACCGUGUAUUGGUACUGGGGGAAUGAUAGCAUGGAAGCUCCGAGCCACAGGGAAGCUUUUCCACAGCGGUCUUGCACACAAGGCUAUCAACCCGUUGGAGUUAGCCAUGGAAGCACUUAAAGAGAUUCAGUCACGAUUUUAUAGAGACUUCCCUCCACAUCCUAAGGAAGAGGUUUAUGGCUUUGCCACACCAUCAACUAUGAAACCAACUCAAUGGAGUUAUCCUGGAGGUGGUGUCAAUCAGAUUCCAGCAGAGUGUACUAUAUCAGGGGAUGUAAGGUUAACUCCUUUCUACAACCCAACAGAUGCAGUCAAGAAAUUACAAGAGUAUGUAGAUGAGAUAAAUGCCAACAUAGAGAAGCUAGAUUCACGUGGACCAGUGUCAAAAUAUGUACUUCCAGAUGAAAAUCUGAGAGGAAGGCUUACAAUCACUUUUGAUGAGGCUGUGACGUCUGGGGUUGCUUGUAAUCUUGAUUCUUGUGGCUUUCAUGUCUUAUGUAAAGCAACUGAGGAAGUGGUUGGCUAUGUGAAGCCCUACUCGAUCACAGGAAGUUUGCCAUUGAUUCGAGAGUUACAGGAUGAGGGUUUUGAUGUGCAAACUUCUGGAUAUGGUCAGGGAUUAGCAUGGAGUCGCCAUCUAUCUUUUACAGAAAUUUGAGAGGAGAGGUUGUGACUGGUGGUUUACUCAAAUCGCCUCCUCAAAUGGGUCUUUAUUAGCCUUUGGGUUUUUUCAGAAUGUAUAUGAAAUUGAGGUGUAACUGGUACAUGUCAAGGAAGAGGGAAUUCUAUGUACGAAGGAAGUGAAGUAGGUAAAGGUGGACAAACAAAUGCUAAGAGAAGUGGCGGUGGGGCUUUCUUGCAACUUGCACACUUAUAGUUAGGUUCAUCUCCUUGAUAUUGGAUCGUUGGCAGUUAGGCUUAUGUCAUCCUAAAUUAGUUUUCCAAACAAAGGCAUAAUGGCUACAUACCAUGCAAGGAAUGAGUACUGCCUAUUUUCUGAUAUGUGCCAAGGUUUCCAUGUGUUCGUGAGCAUCAUCUCCCAAUUGGAAGAAGAUAGCAACUGACAGAUCCACUUGUU